rnacentral:lncRNA from 1 species
GCAAAGAUUUGGUAAAGGUCCAGAAAUCUAAACAGUGGGCUGUGCUUAUUAAGUUGGACUGUACAUUGAGCUAACAAACACAUCCCCCGUCUCCUUGACAACCAGAAUACAAGCAUGUUUUACCUGCGUUAUCUACUCUCGUUGCUGAAGCCAGUGCAUAAUUAGUGGAGAAAAAAACAUAGGUGCCAGUUGGAGACCCCCCAGGGCGGAGGAGGAAAGAAUGGGAGCCAAGUGGGGAGACAGAAAGAGAAUACACAUGAGGAAACAGCUUCAAAGGGUCCUUGCAAGCUGAGGAACUCAUCAAGAAAGUGUUGCCUAAGGCCCCAUGACUCAUAAGUGCCAUGGCUAAGAUUUGAACUCCUUCUUAAAGAUGAACCACUCCCUGAAUGAGGUCUCUCUGCUUUUCUAUCUCCACCCAAGCCACCUCCUACUCUCUACUCCCACCAAUGGCUGGUACCAUCUCCCUACCCUCGCUGGAACCCUUAAGAAAAUAGAAUCCCUGAAAGGCUCCAAGAUAGUGGUGUAGGAAAACCCUGAACUCAUCUCCUCCUGUGGACAUACUGAGUCUACACCUACAAAUAGAG